rnacentral:rRNA from 1 species
GUCUGAUGGAGCAACGCCGCGUGAGUGAAGAAGGUUUUCGGAUCGUAAAACUCUGUUGUUAGGAGAAGAACGUGGGUGAGAGUAACUGCUCAUCCAGUGACGGUAUCUAACCAGAAAGCCACGGCUAACUACGUGCCAGCAGCCGCGGUAAUACGUAGGUGGCAAGCGUUGUCCGGAUUUAUUGGGCGUAAAGCGAGCGCAGGCGGUCUUUUAAGUCUGAUGUGAAAGCCCUCGGCUUAACCGAGGAAGUGCAUCGGAAACUGGAAUACUUGAAUGCAGAAGAGGAGAGUGGAACUCCAUGUGUAGCGGUGAAAUC